rnacentral:rRNA from 1 species
UACGUAGGGUGCAAGCGUUGUCCGGAAUUAUUGGGCGUAAAGAGCUCGUAGGCGGUCUGUCGCGUCUGCUGUGAAAACUCGGGGCUUAACCCCGGGCCUGCAGUGGGUACGGGCAGACUAGAGUGCGGUAGGGGAGACUGGAAUUCCUGGUGUAGCAGUGAAAUGCGUAGAUAUCAGGAGGAACACCGAUGGCGAAGGCAGGUCUCUGGGCUGACACUGACGCUCAUGCACGAAAGCGUGGGGGAGCAAACAGG